rnacentral:lncRNA from 1 species
AAUUUGGAUCCUGAUCUUCAGUAUAGUGUUAAUUUAAUACAAUUUUAUUUCAGGCUUGUGACAGUUUAAUGUUCAAACCAAUCAAUGUUUAAAAAGCACUCUUAAAAGUGUCCGUUUCAUUUUGAUCUCUGGGAGAAAGAAAGCACAAUGAAAGGAAAACACAUCUAUAGAAACAGCUUAGUAAGACCUUUCAUAAAUAUUCGUGUGCAAUUUUCAGUUGCUGGCUUGAUUACUAAAGAGCUAAGGUGAAAUCUAUGAAGCAUUCAUUGGUGAUAACAUUAAAGAGCAAGAGAUGUCCUUCAAAUCCUUUUCAUAUCUUCUAUAGAUUUAUAUUCUACAGAUUCACUUGGUAGACAAUAAUGCUAACCUGUAUGUAUGAACGUGACACUUUAUUUGAAAUUCGUGCUUGGCAUUGCUGUGUGCCCUGUGUCAUUUUGCCUUUCUGGCUUUCAUUUCUCUGAAAUAAAAAAAUAAAUAGUAAGAUUGGGUUAAGUCCAGAAAAAUUCCAUUAAAGACCUGCAUAAGCAGGACCUGAGUCCAAGGGGCAUAUGGAGAUGAUGGAUUUAAAGAUGGCAUUGUUGGAGGCAUGUUGACUCACUGAGGAGAUUCAUACCUUCUUCCAUAUAGGACAAUGUACUAAUGCAAUUUUAUAUGUAUUUCUUGUUUUGCUGACCAAGCCUAUCCUGUCGUGGCCACUGCAGCUCGUCCGUCUGCUGCCAGCACCUGAUGUGUGUCCAAGUGACAUUAGCUCAGGUAGAAAGGCUGGGGAGGUGCUGGGGCAAGCUAGGGAGUUCCCAGAGUCCUGUUGGACUCAGAGGAGGACUUGUUUGGGGAUGACUUAUCUUUUUUUGAAGAGCAUGGUCAGCGCUCUCAAGGCUGAGGUAUAGUCUUCCAGAUCUGGUUCCAGCUUUGCCUGGGUGUUU